rnacentral:tRNA from 1 species
CGGGGUGUAGCGCAAGGGUAGCGCGCGUCGUUCGGGACGACUAGGUCGAAGGUUCAAAUCCUCUCACCCUGACCA